AUUGAACGCUGGCGGCAGGCCUAACACAUGCAAGUCGAACGGUAACAGGAAGAAGCUUGCUUCUUUGCUGACGAGUGGCGGACGGGUGAGUAAUGUCUGGGAAACUGCCUGAUGGAGGGGGAUAACUACUGGAAACGGUAGCUAAUACCGCAUAAUGUCGCAAGACCAAAGAGGGGGACCUUCGGGCCUCUUGCCAUCGGAUGUGCCCAGAUGGGAUUAGCUAGUAGGUGGGGUAACGGCUCACCUAGGCGACGAUCCCUAGCUGGUCUGAGAGGAUGACCAGCCACACUGGAACUGAGACACGGUCCAGACUCCUACGGGAGGCAGCAGUGGGGAAUAUUGCACAAUGGGCGCAAGCCUGAUGCAGCUAUGCCGCGUGUAUGAAGAAGGCCUUCGGGUUGUAAAGUACUUUCGGCGGGGAGGAAGGGAGUAAAGUUAAUACCUUGGCUCAUUGACGUUACCCGCAGAAGAAGCACCGGCUAACUCCGUG
rnacentral:rRNA from 1 species